rnacentral:rRNA from 1 species
GACGAACGCUGGCGGCGUGCCUAAUACAUGCAAGUCGAACGCUCUCGACCUUCGGGUCAUAUGAGGGAGUGGCGAACGGGUGCGUAACACGUGAGAAACCUACCCCGAAGUCAGGAAUAGUCAGAGGAAACUCUGAUUAAUACCUGAUGUCUUGGGACCACCGCAUGGUGGACCUAAGAAAGCUCCGGCGCUUUGGGAGGGUCUCGCGGCCUAUCAGCUUGUUGGUGAGGUAAUGGCUCACCAAGGCAUCGACGGGUAGCUGGUCUGGGAGGACGAUCAGCCACACUGGGACUGAGACACGGCCCAG